rnacentral:rRNA from 1 species
AGAGUUUGAUCAUGGCUCAGGAUGAACGCUGGCGGCGUGCCUAACACAUGCAAGUCGAGGAGAUACUGUUGAACAGAGAUUCGUCAACGGGAUACAGUGGAAAGCGGCGGACGGGUGAUAACGCGUAGGCAACCUGCCCCUUACACAGGGAUAGCCAUUGGAAACGAUGAUUAAAACUGAUGACACCUGAGGAUGACAUCUUCCUGAGGUCAAAGAUUUAUCGGUAAGGGAUGGGCUGCGUCUGAUUAGAUAGUUGGUGAGGUAACGGCCCACCAAGUCAACGAUCAGUAGCCGACUGAGAGGGUGAUCGGCCACAUUGGAACUGAGACACGGUCCAAACUCCUACGGGAGGCACAGUGGGGAAUAUUGCACAAUGGGGGAAACCCUGAUGCAGCAACGCCGCGUGAAGGAAGAGGUCUUCGGAUCGUAAACUUCUGUCCUAGAGGAAGAUAAUGACGGUACUCUUGGAGGAGCCCCGGCUAACUACGUGCCAGCAGCCGCGGUAAUACGUAGGGGGCAAGCGUUAUCCGGAUUAUUGGGCGUAAAGAGUGCGUAGGUGGUUACCUAAGCAGGGGGUGAAAGGCACUGGCUAACCAAUGUCAGCCCCCUGAACUGGGCUACUUGAGUGCAGGAGAGGAAAGUGGAAUUCUAGUGUAGCGGUGAAAUGCGUAGAUAUUAGGAGGAACACCAGUGGCGAAGGCGACUUUCGGACUGUUACUGACACUGAGGCACGAAAGUGUGGGGAGCAAACAGGAUUAGAUACCCUGUAGUCCACACCGUAAACGAUGAGCACUAGUGUCGGGGGAGCAAUUUCUCGGUGCCGCAGUAACGCAUUAAGUGCUCCGCCUGGGGAGUACGUACGCAAGUAUGAAACUC